AUGGGGUGCUGGAAGAAACAGUUUUACAGGAACAGAUAGGGGUGCAGCAUGGUAUUGGGGUUCAAAGUGUAAGAGAGGUGCAGGGUGUUGGGGGAGAGCAGAAUAGAGAGAUGAAACCUGGGAUGGUAAGAGGGGUAAAUGCACAGAGCUUUAGUGGGGUGCAAGACAGUGAGGAGCAGAUGGAGGCAGAUGUGCUGGGAGAUGACAGAGCACAGAGGAUAGGAUUGGGGUGCAAGAAGAAGUGAGAAGGGUACAGGGGAUUAAUGACGUACAGUGGGAUAUUGGGGUACAGAAAGGGCUAAAGGUUCAGAUACAGGUAGGGAGUGUAAAACACAGAGUUAGAGGGGUGCAGGAAACUAGAAUGCAGGAAGAUGGGGUGCUGGGAGAUGGGGUUGAGGGGGAGGUUUGGGGGCAGGGAGUUGGAGGGCUGCAGGGAGUUGGAGGGCUGCAGUGUUUGUUAUAGGGUGCAGGAAGAUACAGAGGAGCAGGUCUCACAGGUUAAACCAACAGGGGACACAGGGGGUGACUAUUUCACAGCAGAGGGGCAAGACAUGGGCACAACGCUGUACCGAGCAGCCACCAGUAUAAACUGAAUCUCACUGCAGACACUAUCACACAGGUGGAGAAGUUGGAAGAUUCCAUAGAGGAGAUGCUGGUGAGGCUGGACAAGUUCUGCAUUUGAUGGAUAUGAAAACCGGACCACAACAGCUAUUUAUAAACUUCCAAAGAUGUACAGGACAGAAGACUACUUUCCCACCACUUCCAUCCAUCCC